rnacentral:tRNA from 1 species
AGCCCUGUGGUGUAGUGGCCAAUCAUAGUGGCCUUUGGAGCCACUGACGCUGGUUCGAAUCCAGCCGGGGCUA